rnacentral:rRNA from 1 species
UACAGAGGUCCCGAGCGUUGUUCGGAUUCACUGGGCGUAAAGGGUGCGUAGGUGGUGAGAUAAGUCGGAUGUGAAAGCUCGGAGCUCAACUCCGAAAUGGCAUUGGAAACUAUCUCGCUCGAGGGUUGGAGGGGGGACUGGAAUGCUUGGUGUAGCAGUGAAAUGCGUAGAUAUCAAGCGGAACACCAGUGGCGAAGGCGAGUCCCUGGACAACUCCUGACACUGAGGCACGAAGGCCAGGGGAGCAAACGGG